CACUCAAUAUGGCGGCUCGAAUACUUGAAGGGGUAAUAACUACUUAUUUAUUAUCGAUCAACUGAUAAAUGAUGAACAAUGACUGGCAUCAUUCUAUGACUAACAAAUUAGCCUGACUUACAUGAAAACCAUAUUGCAGUGUUUGAAAGACACCUAUGUCAUUUUUACUUGCUUGCAUGUUGUCCUUACAAGUCAAUCUUUAAUAUAGAAUAAGUGGAAUUCAAAAACUGACCUGUUUUAACUGCACAUAUACAACACACUUGUAUGCUUUCAGUUUCAAAGAUUUUGCAGUUGAGAGUUGGUGUGGGGCAAGGAAGAGUUGGACAAAAAAGUGCUGGAUCACUUUCCUUCUCAACAAGUAUUAUAACUAUUUGACUAGUAAAAUCUCUUAUGGAAUGUACACAAAAUUUUGAUUGAAAGAUAAUUCUUUUUUAAAACUAAAAUAACUUGUUUAAAAUGAAAUGAUAAGUUUCUAAUUCUUUUUUAA